rnacentral:rRNA from 1 species
UAGGGAAUCUUCCGCAAUGGACGCAAGUCUGACGGAGCAACGCCGCGUGAGUGAAGAAGGGUUUCGGCUCGUAAAACUCUGUUGUUAAGGAAGAACACUUUAGGUAGUAACUGGCCUAGAGAUGACGGUACUUAACCAGAAAGCCACGGCUAACUACGUGCCAGCAGCCGCGGUAAUACAUAGGUGGCAAGCGUUAUCCGGGAUUAUUGGGCGUAAAGCGCGCGUAGGCGGUAGAAUAAGUCUGAUGUGAAAGCCCCCGGCUCAACCGGGGAGGGUCAUUGGAAACUGUUUUACUUGAGUGCAGAAGAGGAGAGUGGAAUUCCAUGUGUAGCGGUGAAAUGCGCAGAGAUAUGGAGGAACACCAGUGGCGAAGGCGGCUCUCUGGUCUGUAACUGACGCUGAGGUGCGAAAGCGUGGGGAUCGAACAG